CCUUCAACCAAACAAACUUUUAAUGUCACAUAUCUUCUCCCUCCUCUCACUCCUCUGCACCAAUCAACUCUCCUCCACCGCUCAUUGUUUAUCCAAGUAAGAACUCGCUGAAGGACCUGGAUUGUUGCCUUUACUAGGCGAGAUGAUGAAGAUGGAGUCCUAAGCGAGCUAAGUCUAGGAUCUACAAUCAGUGAAUUCUUUGCAAUUUUGACACCGGCAUCUGCAACCAACAAUAAGGAUUUCUUCUUUGUGAUUUCUGCUUAUGAUUUCUUCUUCAUGAUCUCUUUUGCCUUUGGCAUUCGAUUUUUGCUUCUCCUUCAUGAUUUUUGAAUAUUGCAUCUUGUCAACGAUUGAAACCCCAUCAUGUGUAAGGAAGACCUCAGCGAUGACGGCCAAAGACAGUGAUGGCAUCGCUGUGAAAGGUGGACGAGUCCUAAUGAGGCAGUGCAUGUAUUCUGUGGUCUCAACACACGGCAAAGAAGAGAUGAAAGGAUAAAACAUACAAGGUCAUUGAAGUGCCUCCACAUGUUGGUUUCCACCCACAGCUUCAGCUUCAGCUUCCUCCUUGGUCACCUCGUUUAGCUCAAUUGAACGCUUCCUCUUCCAUGGAUUUUACUGUAUCGAAUUGUUCUACUUUUUAGUGCCCAUGUAAAUUCAUGGCCUUGCUUAGGUUUCCAGUUUCUUUGGACACCUUUGAUUCAAAGAAGGCCAAUUUCCCUUUGAAUUCUGCUGAUCGUAGCUCCGGCUUUUCGCCUUCUUCCAGUUCCCUUCAUGCGCUUCGAGUUUGCGCUUUCGUUUCUUUGAGCAGGAUCAAAUACGUCCAAGUCUCUAGGCUCGAAAAUGAGCUAUCCGGUGUUUCCGAUGACGGUUUGGACGAGGGGAAUCUGAACUCGAGAUUUGAACCUGGGAAGAAAGUUCGGGUAGCAAAGAAGGUAGCGAACAGAGAAUUUGAAGUGGAUUUGAAAUUUAGAUACAAAAGGAAAGAUGGCACACUCGAUAUAGACGAGUUCUUUGUAUAUGAUGGUGAUUUUGAUGUAGAUUACUCUUCCAUUCGGGUUGACUUGAGCUCUGAACUUUGUAACGCGAUCUUGAAAAGGCUUGAAAAAAGAAGUGAUGACAAAGCUCUGGUGUUUUUUCAGUGGAUGACGAGCAAUGGUAAGUUAGAACAGAAUAUUGGUGCUUAUAAUGUGAUUAUUCGCAUGUUAAGUAGGAGAGAGAACUGGGAUGCUGCGGAGAAAAUGAUUCAGGAAAUGAGAAGCAAAUUUGGUUCUGAAUUGAAUUUUCAGGUUUUUAACACGCUUAUCUACGCAUGCUCCAAACGGGGUCUUGUGGGGCUAGGUGCAAGAUGGUUUCAAAUGAUGUUAGACUCUGGUGUUCGUCCAAAUAUUGCGACCUUUGGUAUGCUCAUGGGGCUUUAUCAGAAGGGUUGGAAUGUUGAUGAGGCAGAGUUCACAUUUUCAAAGAUGAGGAGCUUCGGGAUUGUAUGUCAAUCUGCUUAUUCAGCGAUGAUUACUAUUUAUACCCGUUUAAGAUUGUAUGAGAAAGCAGAAGGAAUUAUUGGGUUGAUGACAGAAGAUAAGGUGCCUCUUAGUCUGGGAAAUUGGUUGGCGGUACUAAAUGCUUAUAGCCAGCAAGGCAAAAUGAAGGAUGCUGAAAAUGUAUUUAUGUCAAUGCAAGAAGCAGGGCUUUCCUCCAAUAUCAUUGCUUAUAAUACAAUGAUAACUGGGUACGGGAAGGCAUCUAACAUGGAUGCUGCUCAGAGCCUUUUUCUGAAUAUGCAGAAUGUUGGGAUGGAUCCUGAUGAAACCACUUACCGUUCAAUGAUUGAAGGUUGGGGUAGAGCUGGUAAUUUUGAACAAGCAAGAAGGUACUAUGGUGAGCUGAAACGGUUGGGAUACAUGCCCAAUUCCUCCAACCUGUACACAUUGAUAAAAUUGCAAGCCAAACAUGCAGAUGAAGAGGGUGCCAUGACAACCCUUAAUGAUAUGCUGGAGACUGGAUGCCAGUAUUCUUCUAUUCUUGGGAUUCUUUUACAAGCAUAUGAGAGAGCUGGAAGAGUUGAUAAAGUGCCACUUUUGCUGAAAGAUUCGUUUUAUCAGCACAUUUUAGUCAACCAGAAUUCUUGCUCAACUCUGGUCAUGGCUUAUAUAAAACAUCAAUUGGUGGAUGAGGCCUUGAAAGUAUUGAAUGACAAAAAGUGGAAUGAUCCUCAUUAUGAGGAUAAUUUGUAUCAUCUGAUUAUUUGCUUGUGUAAAGAGGUAGGCUUGCUUCAAGACGCUGUUAAAAUGUACAGUCAAAUGCCCAAACAUGAUGACAAGCCAAACCUGCACAUUUCAUGCACUAUGAUUGACAUUUAUUGUAUCAUGGGUCUCUUCGAGGAAGCAGAAAAACUCUAUCUGAAGUUGAAAUCUUUGGAAACCUCCCUGGAUAUGAUUGCUUUCAGCGUUGUUGUAAGAAUGUAUGUCAAAGCUGGAUCUUUUGAAGAUGCUUGCUCUGUUCUGGAUGAAAUUGACAAGCGACCAGAUAUCAUUCCAGAUGUUUUUCUGUUACGUGAUAUGCUCCGCACUUAUCAACGAUGUGGUAUGCUGGAUAAAUUAUCUGAUUUAUACUACAAAAUCUCAAAAGAUCGAGUGAAUUGGGACCAGGAAAUGUAUAAUUGCAUCCUGAACUGCUGUGCACGUGCUGUGCCUGUAGAUGAGCUUACCAGGCUUUUUGAUGAGAUGCUUCAGCGUGGAUUUUCACCUAAUACAAUUACCUUCAAUGUCAUGCUUGAUGUCUAUGGAAAAGCCAAGUUAUUCAAGAAGGCGGAGAGGUUGUUCUUCAUGGCUAAAAGGCGGGGCCUGGCGAACGUGAUUUCUUACAAUACUAUUAUAGCUGCAUUUGGGAAGAACAAGGACUUCAAAAACAUGUCAUCAACUGUCCAGAAGAUGAAAUUUGAUGGCUUUGAAGUUUCCCUGGAAGCCUACAAUUCAAUGCUAGAUGCUUAUGGAAAGGAUGGUCAAAUGGAGACUUUUAGAAGCGUAUUGCAGAAAAUGAAGGAGUCAGGAUGUACCUCUGACCACUACACAUACAACACUGUGAUCAAUAUUUAUGGAGAUCAAGGAUGGAUUGAUGAAGUCGCAAGUGUUCUCAGCGAACUGAGAGAAUGUGGACUUGGACCUGAUUUGUACAGCUAUAACACAUUGAUCAAAGCAUAUGGUAUUGCUGGAAUGGUCGAAGAUGCUGUAGAUUUGAUUAAGGAGAUGAGAGAAAAUGGAAUUGAACCUGACUGCAUAACCUACAAUAAUCUUAUCACGGCUCUUAGAAGAAAUGAUAAGAUUUUAGAGGCUGUUAAAUGGUCACUGUGGAUGAAGCAGUUGAAGUUGUAAAUUUCAUAAAACUGCAUCCUCGAUGUGGUCUUGGGCCUUUCAAUCGUGCUUCUCUGAAUAAUAUCAUGAAUUACAGAGGUCUUGACUUUUCAGGGGAAUAGUGGUACAAGAUGUUGACUGCAACUCUGCAAGGGCAAUAAGAGGACAGAUGGGAUCAUAGGAUAGGAAGUAUUUGGCGGCACAGAGAAAUGAGUCUAUCUCUAGGAAUGUCUCACAUGGAAAAUGCCACUGUCCAUUAAGCAGCAGAGCCGGUGAACAAAAUUGCAAACAAAAAAAUCUUACUGGGAAUCCAUUCUCUACAUGGUGUAACAGGCAAUGAAGCUUUAUAUCCACCUGAAUCAGCACCUAGAAGAUCAUAGUACUGUUCUGAGCAUUCUAGCAACAUAAGAGUUCUGGAAAAUACCCUUGGGGUCUGUUUUCUUUCCUUGGCAUUUCUUGGAGGCACCAUGGGUCACUGUUCCCACCAAAGCUUCCGAGACAGGUUGUAAUGGAAGGUAAGAAUGUUGAUGUGGAAACUCAUGAUUGUGGUGGAGAAAUGCUCAGUUGAAAAAGUAUGGUGACUCAAGAACCUUCCGCAAGUCAAAAUCACCUCUCUCUGGCAGUCCAGGGAACGUCAAUCCUGGGUAUGAUUUCUGAAAGUCUUCCAGCAACUGCGAAAUUAUUGAUUAUUCAAUUAUGACAAGGUUCUUUUUAAGGACCGGAUUAUAACAAGUGUAAAAUAAACAAAUAAUGAGGUUUGAUCCCACCGUUUGGUCUAAAAGGAAAUGGCUAAGUAGCUACUAAUAGGGACACUUUCAAUGUAUAUGGAGAUCCGAUGCAGUUAGAGUAUAAUAAGAUUCUUUGGCAGUCUCUCUAUUAAA